rnacentral:misc_RNA from 1 species
AUUUCUUGUUUUGUUUGUUUGUUGGUUGGUUGGUUGUUUGUUUCUCUGCAUGACAGACAAACAAGCAAGCAAGCAAGUGUUGUUGUUGUUGUUUGUGGACGUGAGACAGGCAGGCAGGCAGACAAGAGAUGAUAGAUGACGACGAUGGAAAUGGUCCAUCCUCCUCCUCCUCCUCCUCCCUCGCCCACGCUCGCCCUCUCACGCGCACCCUCCCCACCCGCGCCCAUACGCCGUGCCACAGCACAUUGUCUUGUUGCCUUGAUUGAUUUUGUUAAUGAUCCUUCCGCAGGUUCACCUACGGAAA